rnacentral:tRNA from 1 species
GCUGGCUUAGUAUAAGUAGAGUGCGUGGGAUUGUAGCUCCUAAGGUAGGGUAAUCUGGCCGGAA